rnacentral:siRNA from 1 species
UUUAGAAUAACCCAUAACCUUCC